ACUACCACAACGCGGGGCGGAGCGAUCGGGGUGUCAAUCACAGACGGGGGCGGGAUAGACGAGUUCACCUCGUCUCGCGCUCUUCCCCCGGGCCCCGCCCCUGCGCGCCGCACCGAGCGACUUCCAAGAACUCCCAGCGUAGUCAGUGACUUGGGCCACGCCCCUCGCCCCCCAAACCGGUCUCUUCCGGACCGGAUUCCGCCCAGGCUCUCCGCGCGGGGCGCCCUCCCCCCCCCCCCCCCCCCGCCAAAGCACGCCCCACGGAUGCGGGAGUUUAGGGGCCGGGACGGAAGGCGGAGGCCGCGCCGGGGCGUGUGGGGCUGGGGGCCUGAUCCGAAUCAGGUCUUGUUUUCACAAAUGAUCAGAAAGGGCAAGGCGAAUGCACCCCUUGCGGUCCUCAGUGGAGUGAUAGAGCCUGGUUCUCUGCUCUCUGAGCUAGCCAGAGAGGUUCACCCUCAGGAGAGUCUGUGGGGCUCCAGGAGCUUCUGAGGGUCCCUGGAGCCCCAGCAUCCGGCCCUGGAGGCUUUUGGGUAGUUACAGGCCAGAUAACAUGCCCUGUUCUAAGAAGAGACUGCACACAGUGAUGCCUCCCACCCAGCCAGGUGCUGUGCCUGGCCGUCCCACAUUCUCAGUUAUCCAUCACUGCAAGCCUAAAUCAGAACUAAAGUAGGCCUGGGGCACCCAGGCGGCGCAGUCCGUGAAGCAUCCGACGCUUGAUCUCCGCUCAGGUCAUGAUCUCGCAGUUCGUGGGUUCGAGCCUCCUGUCAGUCUCUGCACUGAUGGUGUGGAGCCUGCUUGGGAUCCUCUC